rnacentral:rRNA from 1 species
AGUGAACGCUGGCGGUAGGCCUAACACAUGCAAGUCGAACGGCAGCACAGUAAGAGCUUGCUCUUACGGGUGGCGAGUGGCGGACGGGUGAGGAAUACAUCGGAAUCUACUUUUUCGUGGGGGAUAACGUAGGGAAACUUACGCUAAUACCGCAUACGACCUACGGGUGGAAGCAGGGGAUCUUCGGACCUUGCGCGAUCGAAUGAGCCGAUGUCGGAUUAGCUAGUUGGCGGGGUAAAGGCCCACCAAGGCGACGAUCCGUAGCUGGUCUGAGAGGAUGAUCAGCCACACUGGAACUGAGACACGGUCCAGACUCCUACGGGAGGCAGCAGUGGGGAAUAUUGGACAAUGGGCGCAAGCCUGAUCCAGCCAUACCGCGUGGGUGAAGAAGGCCUUCGGGUUGUAAAGCCCUUUUGUUGGGAAAGAAAAGCAGCAGGUUAAUACCCCGCUGUUCUGACGGUACCCAAAGAAUAAGCACCGGCUAACUUCGUG